CGUUGUAGCUCAGUUGGCAGAGCAGCGGCCCAAAGCCGUGUGUCGGGGGUUCGAAUCCCUCCAUCAA
rnacentral:tRNA from 1 species